rnacentral:rRNA from 1 species
AACGCGAAGAACCUUACCAACCUUUGACAUGUCCAGUAUGGGCCUAGGAGACUAGGCUCUUCAGUUCGGCUGGCUGGAACACAGGUGCUGCAUGGCUGUCGUCAGCUCGUGUCGUGAGAUGUUGGGUUAAGUCCCGCAACGAGCGCAACCCUCAUCUUUAGUUGCCACCAGGUAAGGCUGGGCACUCUAAAGAAACCGCCGGUGACAAGCCGGAGGAAGGCGGGGAUGACGUCAAGUCCUCAUGGCCCUUACAGGUUGGGCUACACACGUACUACAAUGGUGGUGACAGUGGGUUGCGAAGUCGCAAGAUGGAGCCAAUCCCCAAAAGCCAUCUCAGUUCAGAUUGCACUCUGCAACUCGAGUGCAUGAAGUUGGAAUCGCUAGUAAUCGCAGAUCAGCACGCUGCGGUGAAUACGUUCCCGGGCCUUGUACACACCGCUGUA